GCUCGCAACACCUAUGCUCCUGGCGACUACCACCUAUUGAUGUCGCCUGCGUGGCCGGGGCCUCACCACCGUGGUGCGGUGGUAGGCUGUGGCUGCCCUCUCCUCUUCAGCAACCUCGAUGGCUUGCUCCACGGCUAGAACUAUAAUAUGUAAGCACAAGCUUCCCAGGAAGAAAUACUUUAGAGGAGAGGACAACAUUUGUGCUUAUGUGUGAGGAAAGGAUGCACAAGGAGGGGGCCAUUGUGUAGUUUUGCCUGGACGAUGAUAUGGGUCAUGUGCCCGCCCUUGUGCUGCUAUAUCUAUGUUGGUCAACAACUACAAUCCAUCAACGAGUGGAUCAGAGUCCAUGGGUGGUGCCGGCGAAUUCACCGCCUCUACUAUGUGAGCAGAUUUUAUAGAGGCCAUUACAUAGGGUCUGAUUUCAUAUAUGAUUUUGCUAGCGCGGAUACAACGAGGAGAAGUAGUUCAAGGAUUACCUUACUGAUCAAGGAAUGCUAGCUGGAUUCUUAGUGUGCAAUGCACCAUUGGAUGCUUGUCUCGGGUCCUCCUGCCUUUGUCAGUUUUUCUUAUCUUGCAAGGUAAUGGAAAGAUACGAAUCUACCGUCUUGAUUUUUCUGGUACCUGAAGGUGUAUACUGAUCGCGAUAGAUUAUUAUUUUGAUAUGUACUUGUUCCGAUACCACUGAAGCAAUACCUUAUGACACUUGUGUUGUUUAGAAAAAUUAUUUGAAAGUGUUGAUGAUGAGUUCUGGUAGAAGCAUUGUCCUUGUCUUUCGAUAACUGGAAAUGCAUCGACAAGCAUGUGAGUUAUCCUACUCUAUUUUUUUUUGGCUUGCUGAUCCGGGAGCCAGCUAGUUUUUUUAUAUAUCACUUCCUCUUAGAUCCUGGAAUAAAUUAACUCUCUGUUCAUUACUUCUACCAUACAUGUUGCCGAGAAACCUUUUGAUAGCUUAAAAAUGGCAAGAAAAUUUGUUCUCUGUUCUACAUUUUACUUAACAGUGAUAAUAAUCAUGUUAAUGCCUCGUGAACCAUACAUUGAAUUCAGUUUCACCCUAUCAAAAAUAUGUAGAGCAAUUGUUUUAAUAGCUACGAACUCUGAAUCUAGAGGUGACAUA